GGCUUCCUAUGUGUUGUUAGAUUCCAUGGAAACAUGUAUGCUGAGAAUGAAACUGUGUGCCAAGAAGAUGUGUGAUCAUGAGGGUAUAAAAUAAAGCCAGACCUCAGCCAAGGUGGAGCAGUUUGUCCUGUGAAACUAUGCUGUGGAUUGAAUUAAAAAACUGUGUCCCAUCCAUCAUUCCACUGACACCGUCCGACCUCCAAGACCCCAUCCCCUGUGGAGGCUGGCCCACUCCAUAGCAGAAACCCAAACCAGAAACUUCCAGGUAAACAAGGCAGCAGUCUAGAUGCAGGAUUCUUCCUCUCCUCAGCACCUAUGGAUAUCAACUACCUCAAAAGAUAAAAAAAAAAAUUCAUAUGAACAAAGGGACUCUACAGUAGGGCACAGCAUUGAAGCAUUUUUGAAGAAGACAGUCACUUGCAUUUCACCUAUGAUUGUGUUGUGUCUUGUGAUUAUUCACAUUGAUUUGCAAUGCAUUUUUGUGUCAAAAGAUUGAAGUACUCAGACCAGCAGACAAUUCUCAGACUUUUCCCAAAAUCAAACCACUUUGAGAGCACUGGAAGCUUUCAGGACCCCAUCCUAUCCUGAGAUGCCAGAAUAAAAAGACUCAAUACUCCA
rnacentral:lncRNA from 1 species